rnacentral:rRNA from 1 species
ACGAACGCUGGCGGCGUGCCUAAUACAUGCAAGUCGAACGGUCUUUCUAUGGAAGCUUGCUUCCACUGAGAAGAUAGUGGCGGACGGGUGAGUAACACGUGGGUAACCUGCCCAUAAGAGGGGGAUAACAUCCGGAAACGGGUGCUAAUACCGCAUAGUUUUCUUGAUCGCAUGAUCGAGAAAGGAAAGACGGCCUUUGUGCUGUCGCUUAUGGAUGGACCCGCGGCGUAUUAGUUAGUUGGUGAGGUAAUGGCUCACCAAGACGAUGAUACGUAGCCGACCUGAGAGGGUGAUCGGCCACAUUGGGACUGAGACACGGCCCAAACUCCUACGGGAGGCAGCAGUAGGGAAUCUUCCGCAAUGGACGAAAGUCUGACGGAGCAACGCCGCGUGAGUGAAGAAAGGUUUUCGGAUCGUAAAACUCUGUUGUCAGAGAAGAACAAGUUGGAGAGUAACUGCUCCAGCCUUGACGGUAUCUGACCAGAAAGCCACGGCUAACUACGUGCCAGCCGCGGC